rnacentral:rRNA from 1 species
GACGAACGCUGGCGGCGUGCUUAACACAUGCAAGUCACGGGGGGCUCGCAAGAGCUAACCGGCGAACGGGUGCGUAACACGUGAGCGACCUGCCGAUCUGCGGGGGAUAGCCGGCCCAACGGCCGGGUAAUACCGCAUACGUUCCUCAGGGGGCAUCCCUUGGGGAGGAAACCUCCGGGGCGGAUCGAGGGGCUCGCGGCCUAUCAGCUAGGUUGGGGGGUAACGGCCUCCCAACGG